rnacentral:rRNA from 1 species
AAUGAACGCUGGCGGCGUGCUUAACACAUGCAAGUCGAACGAGAAAGCCUGAUUUCGGUUGGGCGAGUAGAGUGGCGCACGGGUGAGUAACGCGUAGGUGACCUGCCCUUGUGUUCGGGAUAACUUUGCGAAAGCGGGGCUAAUACCGGAUACGAUCUCACUUUCGGGUGGGAUGAAAGGAGGCCUCUCGAGGAAGCUUCCGCACGGGGAUGGGCCUGCGUCCUAUCAGCUGGUUGGUAGGGUAACGGCCUACCAAGGCGACGACGGGUAGCUGGUCUGAGAGGAUGAUCAGCCACACUGGCACUGAAACACGGGCCAGACUCCUACGGGUGGCUG